AUAUUUUGUUUAUAUCUGGUAAAUUCAUGUCAGUCACAUGAUCCGGCCUGCUGAAACGAUAUUUAUACAUUGUAGCAAUAAUAAUAAUGCUUAUCUGCUUUUGUGUUUCAGUUUUACUGCUAGUAGCUACAUUAAACAAAUUCAACUUGGAGCCUUUUCCCCAAGUCUAGUGAUUGGAGAUGAAGUUUAUCUGCCUGUCAGUUCAUGCAAGGCGUGUGAGGAUGACAGGACAAGGACAGUAAAUGCAAAGCUGACUGUGUGUCAAACCACACAUUUGUUCAUGUACACAAACAAAGUUCUGAAAUCUGGAUCCAAAACCAUUGCGUGUUCAUACAUAUUAACAGACUGACUAAAAGAAAUAUUAAAAGAAAGAUGUGUGGUUUCCUGUUAGCAGCAGCAAAACAGAAAUGAAGCUUCCUCCUCCAACUAGAAGAUAGCGGUCCUCCUUCUCAGAGCAGUGAAGAAAGAACUUUUAAAACAGCUUCUUGUGUCAGUAUUUUCCAGUUGGACUGUAUGUACUGUAUGUAUGUGGUUGGACACAAACUGACUCCUGGAUAUGGCAGCUCUCUGGGGUCUCACCGUCCUGCUGCUCUUUGCUCCGUUCAUCGGUUUGGCUGAAUUUUGUUAUGACUUUGAUCCAAGUGAAAUAAAACAGACUGUUUCCACUGGACUUCCUGCAACGAUCGAACCAACGUUCCCUUCAGAAUGCAGAAGUCUCUCUGUUGAUUACACCUGUUCAGAAAAUGGAAAAGUCAAUGACUCCAAGAAACUGUCUGAGCUGGAGCCUUUCACAGACUACACCUGUACUGGUCUGAUUAAAGACAACAACGUCCCCUUAGAUAAGAGA